rnacentral:rRNA from 1 species
CUACGGGGUGCUGCAGUAGGGAAUUUUGCGCAAUGGGCGAAAGCCUGACGCAGCAACACUGCGUGUGGGAUGAAGCUUUUCGGAGUGUAAACCACUGUCAGUGGGGACGAAAUAUGACGGUACCCACAGAGGAAGCAUCGGCUAACUACGUGCCAGCAGCCGCGGUAAGACGUAGGAUGCAAGCGUUGUCCGGAAUUAUUGGGCGUAAAGCGUUCGUAGGUGGCCUGUCAAGUCUGAUGUUAAAGCCCGGAGCUCAACUCCGGUUCAGCAUUGGAUACUGGCAAGCUAGAGUGCAGGAGAGGCAAGGGGAAUUCCUAGUGUAGCGGUGAAAUGCGUAGAUAUUAGGAGGAACACCGGUGGCGAAAGCGCCUUGCUGGACUGUAACUGACGCUGAGGGACGAAAGCCAGGGGAGCAAAUGGGAUUAGAUACCCGCGUAGUC